UACGUAGGGAGCAAGCGUUGUCCGGAAUCAUUGGGCGUAAAGAGCGUGUAGGCGGUUCGGUAAGUCGGCUGUGAAAGUCCAGGGCUCAACCCUGGGAUGCCGGUCGAUACUGCCGGACUAGAGUUCGGAAGAGGCGAGUGGAAUUCCCGGUGUAGCGGUGAAAUGCGCAGAUAUCGGGAGGAACACCUAUGGCGAAGGCAGCUCGCUGGGACGUUACUGACGCUGAGGCACGAAAGCGUGGGGAGCAAACAGG
rnacentral:rRNA from 1 species